GAUGAACGCUAGCGGCAGGCCUAAUACAUGCAAGUCGAGGGGUAUGGGUUGCUUGCCACCCAGAGACCGGCGCACGGGUGCGUAACGCGUAUGCAAUCUACCUUAAUCAGGGGGAUAGCCCGGGGAAAUCCGGAUUAACACCGCAUACCAUGGGUUGGUGGCAUCACAGUUCAUUCAAAAAUUAAUAGGUUUAGGAUGGGCAUGCGUGCCAUUAGUUAGUUGGUAAGGUAACGGCUCACCAAGACCACGAUGUCUAGGGGAUCUGAGAGGAUGACCCCCCACACUGGUACUGAGACACGGACCAGACUCCUACGGGAGGCAGCAGUAAGGAAUAUUGGUCAAUGGGCGCAAGCCUGAACCAGCCAUGCCGCGUGCAGGAAGACGGCCCUAUGGGUUGUAAACUGCUUUUGUACCGGAAUAAACCUUCUCUUGCGAGAGAAGCUGAACGUACGGUAAGAAUAAGGAUCGGCUAACUCCGUG
rnacentral:rRNA from 1 species